CCUACGGGAGGCAGCAGUGAGGAAUAUUGGUCAAUGGGCGCGAGCCUGAACCAGCCAAGUCGCGUGAAGGAUGACUGCCCUACGGGUUGUAAACUUCUUUUGUAAAGGAAUAAAGUGAGGCACGUGUGCCCUUUUGUAUGGUCUUUAUGAAUAAGGAUCGGCUAACUCCGUGCCAGCAACCGCGGUAAUACGGAGGAUCCGGGCGUUAUCCGGAUUUAUUGGGUUUAAAGGGAGCGUAGAUGGGUUGUUAAGUCAGUUGUGAAAGUUUGCGGCUCAACCGUAAAAUUGCAAUUGAGACUGGCAGCCUUGAGUACAGUUGAGGUAGGCGGAAUUCGUGGUGUAGCGGUGAAAUGCUUAGAUAUCACGAAGAACUCCGAUUGCGAAGGCAGCCUACUAGACUGCAACUGACAUUGAUGCUCGAAAGUGUGGGUAUCAAACAGGAUUAGAUACCCCUGUAGUC
rnacentral:rRNA from 1 species